rnacentral:telomerase_RNA from 1 species
CUUCAUCCUGACUCCGUUCAACUUCAACCACAAGCAAAGUAGUCGAAGCCCAAAUUCGCAGCUCGAUGCCUAAUUUCCACCCGAAGAUCCCCUCAAAUGCUCAUCAUUUAUUUUCCACUACGUUGACGCUGCUAUUCUUCGACUUGUUCGCCUGGCGAGGCUUGCCUCCACCAGCACCACCUAACUUGCACCUUCGCCUGCCCUACAGUUUACCGGCUCUCGUUUUCCGCCAGGAAUGUCUAUUGAAGACCCCUCUACGAAGGUCCGGAUGCCUACGCGAGCCGCCCCCCGAGCCUGUAUCAGGACCUCGCCGUGGGCCGCUGCUGGACAACUGCCGUGGGUUCAAAGCACCCAGCCCAGGGGUGCCCGGCCUACCAAGAGGGAACGCGUGUCGGAACUUAACCCUAAGUAAUCCUUCUGGUUUUUCAAGUCUUGUGCCCAUGCCGUUGGCAGCCUUUUACGUUGCGCGAGGAUGCCUUUGGACGCCUUUGCCCGCUGAAAAGUUGGAUUGGCUGGCCGUGGGAGCCUUGCUUGUGACCGAACGGCUCUUUGCCUGGCGGCCCGGUUACCAGUUCUCUUCCGUCUCGGAGGACAGGUCAAGGGAGAGGACGCCAUGAGUCGUGCUGGUAAGAGUCUCUGGCCUGAGACCGCUCGUCCGCCCCUCUCCGCCGGAACCAGUGCUGUGGUUUUGACAGCACGCCCGAUCGAGUGGUGCGGUCUGAACAAACUCUGGGAGCAGCCUUGGCGUUGUCAAGGGAGACAACAGAGGAAAGCGAGUUGAGCUUGAAUGAGGAAACAAACAGAGACGGCAUUUCGCAUACAGUAUCCAGCUGCUGCUCGCCGGAAGUCUUGUCAGGCACCAUGCCUGGCAUUAUUGCGAGAGAGGGCGCGGAUCACACACGGAAACGCUGCUCACCUUCUCACUGCCCAUUCGCAGGUUCUCGGACCUCGAAACCUCAGUCUCUCGACCGCCAAAGCCGCCUCGGAAAUACGGAAUGCCCCUCGAGCCGCAAGUUCGCUCCGGUGAUCUCGUGGUAUAAGGUCUCGCCAGGCAUAUUAACCUCUAUGCGUCAGCUUCGUCCGACGUGAUGGAGGGCGCCAGUCCACCGCUGAUUGCCCCGCGGCAUCAGCAUAUUCCUCAACUUUUGGGGUUCUGAGAGGACGAGAUGAAAGCGCGCUUUUUUGUGGAUGUCUUUUGUGCGUGCGGAAAGCUUCCCUUUUCCCAUCUUGCAUGGCAAGUGUUGGUGGGAAUGAAUCAAAAACUAGUCCUUGCGGCCGGUGCAAUACACACAGAACAAGUCAAGAUUAGCUAGCACCACCGUGGGCAUGGGAACAUGAAUGGCUGGGCUGGGCGUUGGAGGUAUGCGGGCUGAUGACGGCGGCGAGUUGGUACGGUUUCGGCACGGGGCGAGCCGAGUGAUGUCAUGUCUGCUCGGGCCCAAUCGAGCAGUCAGCACGAACCAAGAAGCACUGCUGGGACCCAUCUCGCGUUGGAGUCAAAGUUUCGUGCUUGUCCGGCACUGUGGGCUGGCGGAGCUGACUGGGAGGUUGGGCCAUGCCUUACGGCGCUUUUGGUGCUGAACUUAUUCGCCUGGAAAGGGCAGGCCUUGGGAUAUGGGCAGUCCUGGUUGUCUCGGCCGUCAGAAAUGUCGGACGGGACAACCCCCCGCGUCGGAGG